UUUUUUAUGAUAAAGACAAUAAUGUCCAUUCUGUGUUUAUUUUGUAGCCAUAUCCUUCUUUAUUAUAUAGGUAUACCAAUUCGAUUUUUAAUCCAUAUAUGGAAUCAUAGAAAAAUUGAUCUAAACUGACCUCCAAACCAUCAAUGAUUCUGAAACGAGGAGUACCCAAAUUGCAUCUAUGCUUAAAUUCGCAUCGUCAAAAGUCGAAUAACAGAGCUUUUGUUUAAUUUCUUCAAAUAUUUUGAACAAUUGGAUAUAAGUCCAUGCUUACUCUUCAUUUUUUUUUUAAAUGGGUACUUGUAACAUAUUGUAUUUGAUCAUUUUAAAAAGAUGACGUUUUGAUGACGUCGCAUGGCGACGUUUCAGUACAUUUUGCUUUUUCAGUAAACACUUCAUCUAUUGAUAAAUACU
rnacentral:lncRNA from 1 species